rnacentral:rRNA from 1 species
UGGCAGCAGUGGGGAAUAUUGCACAAUGGAGGAAACUCUGAUGCAGCGACGCCGCGUGAACGACGAAGGCCUUCGGGUCGUAAAGUUCUGUCCUUGGGAAAGAUAACGACGGUACCCAAGGAGGAAGCCCCGGCUAACUCCGUGCCAGCAGCCGCGGUAAUACGGAGGAUGCGAGCGUUAUCCGGAUUUAUUGGGUUUAAAGGGUGCGCAGGCGGGCUAAUCAGUCAGGGGUGAAAUUCCACGGCUCAACUGUGGGUGUGCCUUUGAUACUGUUAGUCUUGAAUUUAGUUGAAGUGGGCGGAAUGUAGCAUGUAGCGGUGAAAUGCAUAGAUAUGCUACAGAACACCGAUAGCGAAGGCAGCUCACUAAGUUAAUAUUGACGCUCAUGCACGAAAGCGUGGGGAUCAAACAGGAUUAGAUACCC